AGCGAACGCUGGCGGCAGGCCUAACACAUGCAAGUCGAACGAACUCUUCGGAGUUAGUGGCGGACGGGUGAGUCACACGUGGGAACGUUCCUUUUGGCACGGAAUACCUCAGGGAAACUUGUGCUAAUACCGAAUGAGCCAUGCUGGGACAAGAUUUAUCGCCAUUAGAGCGGCCGGCGUCUGAUUAGCUAGUUGGGGAGGUAACGGCUCACCACGGCGACGCUCAGUAGCUGGUCUGAGAGGAUGACCCGCCACACUGGGACUGAGACACGGCCCAGACUCCUACGGGAGGCAGCAGUGGGGAAUCCAGCGCAACGGGCGAAAGCAUGACGAAGCCAUGGCGGGUGAAUGAUGAUGGUGGUAGGAUUGUAAAACUGUUUCACCGGGGACGAUAAUGACGGUACCCGGAGAAGAAGCCCCGGCUAACUUCGUG
rnacentral:rRNA from 1 species